AAUACCAACAAUAUGGGUAACGGGCCCACUUUGUCUGGAAAAGAAUAAUCUCCGCACUACGCAAAGGAACACACAAAAUUCUCAGGCCAGGCACAGUGUCACGCGCUCGUCCUGCUGCCUUUGGAUUUAGAUAUGAAACUGUCAGCACCAUGUCUGCCUGCGUGCCGCCAUGCUUCCCGCCACGAUGACGCUGGACUGAACCUCUGAACUAUGCUUCUUCUCAUGAUGUAUCUGGAUUUAAUCAUAUGCACACUCAAUUAUGCAUAAGCAUAGUAAGGUACUUAGAAGAAGAAGUUUACUUUAUGGUAUAUGUACUACAAACCAGACUAGGUUGUAUCAGCACAUUUCCCAUGGUUCCAAGUUUAUUAGAGGAAGUGCUGGGAAGGAAACAGAUAUUAACAGGAGGUUGCUAAGAAAGAUCUAUGUACUCAAGCCAAGUCAGCAUGGAAUGAAGACCUUCUCAAUGUUAACUUCAAAGCAACCAGAUUUCCAGAAGAAAAAUCUCUACAUUCUGUACGAAACUUCCUCAUUUCUGAAGCUUCCUGGGCACAAUUUUUCUCCUGUUGACAGGGCCCAGCCUGGACCACUCGAAGGCCAGCAGAGAACUUCUCAGUCAAGUCAGGUUGAGUCACAGCCCCACGUAAAGUCUGCUGAGGUCACUGUAGCAGAGCCAGAACAGUUGAAUUGUAUAAGCCACAGAAUUUUAUAUCAGCGCUACUGUGAGGGGAAGCCUAGAUCAAGUCUUACGCACUGAGAAAGGAUGUCAUAUCUGGGCAUUGCCCUUCUCCUUUAGGAGGGCCCGUGUGCCUUUUGUAGGCCCAGGACAUGAGGUCAGGAUGGGAAACGACACAAAAGGACGGCUAGCUGCAAGGCCUCAUGGGAGAAGGAGCAGCGUGAGGAGACCCGGAUGCAGAGCAGCUGUCUCCAGAGCAAUUACAAUUUAGAGGAGAUUGAGAGACCAGGAAAUGAAUCCAAAGGCCAGAAAAUCAAAGCGAAAAGGCAAUGACAUUUCCAGGAAGGACAACGAUACAAGAGGAAGAUUUGGAAUAUCCCAUGCAAAGAUCUCAGUACUCUGGUUGCCUGUUGCUAGUGUUUGGAUGGGGUUUAUGCCCCGAUGAUUUAUUCAUCGACUGCUUGGUUGUUAGUGUGACAAUACUAAGAAGCGACAGACCCUUAGGAGACAGAGCCCGCAGCAAGGUAAUUAGGCCAUCAGGGAACCGAUGCUGUUCUCAUGGAGUGAGUCCUUUCCAGGGAGGUUUGCUUUCUACCCUGCCCUGGGAUUUCUUCCUCUUGCACGUCCUUCUGCCGUGAUAUCAUCUACCAUAACGUGAUGCUGUAGGAGCUCUUGCCACAAU
rnacentral:lncRNA from 1 species